rnacentral:rRNA from 1 species
UACGGGGGGGGCAAGCGUUGUUCGGAAUUACUGGGCGUAAAGGGCUCGUAGGCGGCCAACUAAGUCGGAUGUGAAAUCCCCAGGCUUAACCUGGGAACUGCAUCCGAUACUGGCUGGCUUGAAUCCGGGAGAGGGAUGCAGAAUUCCAGGUGUAGCGGUGAAAUGCGUAGAUAUCUGGAGGAAUACCGGUGGCGAAGGCGGUAUCCUGGACCGGCAUUGACGCUGAUGAGCGAAAGCCAGGGGAGCAAACGGG